UUCCCAUACGGGUUGAAGCAUGACCGUAAGGACAUGUGGACAGUAUGGGAGUGAGAAUGUUGGCAUGAGUAGCGAGAUGUGGGUGAGAAUCCUACAGGCCGUAAACCCAAGGUUUCCAGGGGAAGGUGCGUCCGCCCGGGGUUAGUCGGGUCCUAAGCUGAGGCCGAAAGGCGGAGGUGAAGGACAACCGGUUGAUAUUCCUGUACUACCGAUAACCGUUUGAGAGA
rnacentral:rRNA from 1 species